GGGUUGUGAGGUUAAGCGACUAAGCGUACACGGUGGAUGCCCUGGCAGUCAGAGGCGAUGAAGGACGUGCUAAUCUGCGAUAAGCGUCGGUAAGGUGAUAUGAACCGUUAUAACCGGCGAUUUCCGAAUGGGGAAACCCAGUGUGAUUCGUCACACUAUCAUUAACUGAAUCCAUAGGUUAAUGAGGCGAACCGGGGGAACUGAAACAUCUAAGUACCCCGAGGAAAAGAAAUCAACCGAGAUUCCCCCAGUAGCGGCGAGCGAACGGGGAGCAGCCCAGAGCCUGAAUCAGUGUGUGUGUUAGUGGAAGCGUCUGGAAAGGCGCGCGAUACAGGGUGACAGCCCCGUACACAAAAAUGCACAUGCUGUGAGCUCGAUGAGUAGGGCGGGACACGUGGUAUCCUGUCUGAAUAUGGGGGGACCAUCCUCCAAGGCUAAAUACUCCUGACUGACCGAUAGUGAACCAGUACCGUGAGGGAAAGGCGAAAAGAACCCCGGCGAGGGGAGUGAAAAAGAACCUGAAACCGUGUACGUACAAGCAGUGGGAGCACGCUUAGGCGUGUGACUGCGUACCUUUUGUAUAAUGGGUCAGCGACUUAUAUUCUGUAGCAAGGUUAACCGAAUAGGGGAGCCGAAGGGAAACCGAGUCUUAACUGGGCGUUAAGUUGCAGGGUAUAGACCCGAAACCCGGUGAUCUAGCCAUGGGCAGGUUGAAGGUUGGGUAACACUAACUGGAGGACCGAACCGACUAAUGUUGAAAAAUUAGCGGAUGACUUGUGGCUGGGGGUGAAAGGCCAAUCAAACCGGGAGAUAGCUGGUUCUCCCCGAAAGCUAUUUAGGUAGCGCCUCGUGAAUUCAUCUCCGGGGGUAGAGCACUGUUUCGGCAAGGGGGUCAUCCCGACUUACCAACCCGAUGCAAACUGCGAAUACCGGAGAAUGUUAUCACGGGAGACACACGGCGGGUGCUAACGUCCGUCGUGAAGAGGGAAACAACCCAGACCGCCAGCUAAGGUCCCAAAGUCAUGGUUAAGUGGGAAACGAUGUGGGAAGGCCCAGACAGCCAGGAUGUUGGCUUAGAAGCAGCCAUCAUUUAAAGAAAGCGUAAUAGCUCACUGGUCGAGUCGGCCUGCGCGGAAGAUGUAACGGGGCUAAACCAUGCACCGAAGCUGCGGCAGCGACGCUGAUGCGUUGUUGGGUAGGGGAGCGUUCUGUAAGCCUGUGAAGGUGUGCUGUGAGGCAUGCUGGAGGUAUCAGAAGUGCGAAUGCUGACAUAAGUAACGAUAAAGCGGGUGAAAAGCCCGCUCGCCGGAAGACCAAGGGUUCCUGUCCAACGUUAAUCGGGGCAGGGUGAGUCGACCCCUAAGGCGAGGCCGAAAGGCGUAGUCGAUGGGAAACAGGUUAAUAUUCCUGUACUUGGUGUUACUGCGAAGGGGGGACGGAGAAGGCUAUGUUGGCCGGGCGACGGUUGUCCCGGUUUAAGCGUGUAGGCUGGUUUUCCAGGCAAAUCCGGAAAAUCAAGGCUGAGGCGUGAUGACGAAGCACUACGGUGCUGAAGCAACAAAUGCCCUGCUUCCAGGAAAAGCCUCUAAGCAUCAGGUAACAUCAAAUCGUACCCCAAACCGACACAGGUGGUCAGGUAGAGAAUACCAAGGCGCUUGAGAGAACUCGGGUGAAGGAACUAGGCAAAAUGGUGCCGUAACUUCGGGAGAAGGCACGCUGAUAUGUAGGUGAAGUCCCUUGCGGAUGGAGCUGAAAUCAGUCGAAGAUACCAGCUGGCUGCAACUGUUUAUUAAAAACACAGCACUGUGCAAACACGAAAGUGGACGUAUACGGUGUGACGCCUGCCCGGUGCCGGAAGGUUAAUUGAUGGGGUCAGCGCAAGCGAAGCUCUUGAUCGAAGCCCCGGUAAACGGCGGCCGUAACUAUAACGGUCCUAAGGUAGCGAAAUUCCUUGUCGGGUAAGUUCCGACCUGCACGAAUGGCGUAAUGAUGGCCAGGCUGUCUCCACCCGAGACUCAGUGAAAUUGAACUCGCUGUGAAGAUGCAGUGUACCCGCGGCAAGACGGAAAGACCCCGUGAACCUUUACUAUAGCUUGACACUGAACAUUGAGCCUUGAUGUGUAGGAUAGGUGGGAGGCUUUGAAGUGUGGACGCCAGUCUGCAUGGAGCCGACCUUGAAAUACCACCCUUUAAUGUUUGAUGUUCUAACGUUGGCCCCUGAUCGGGGUUGCGGACAGUGUCUGGUGGGUAGUUUGACUGGGGCGGUCUCCUCCUAAAGAGUAACGGAGGAGCACGAAGGUUGGCUAAUCCUGGUCGGACAUCAGGAGGUUAGUGCAAUGGCAUAAGCCAGCUUGACUGCGAGCGUGACGGCGCGAGCAGGUGCGAAAGCAGGUCAUAGUGAUCCGGUGGUUCUGAAUGGAAGGGCCAUCGCUCAACGGAUAAAAGGUACUCCGGGGAUAACAGGCUGAUACCGCCCAAGAGUUCAUAUCGACGGCGGUGUUUGGCACCUCGAUGUCGGCUCAUCACAUCCUGGGGCUGAAGUAGGUCCCAAGGGUAUGGCUGUUCGCCAUUUAAAGUGGUACGCGAGCUGGGUUUAGAACGUCGUGAGACAGUUCGGUCCCUAUCUGCCGUGGGCGCUGGAGAACUGAGGGGGGCUGCUCCUAGUACGAGAGGACCGGAGUGGACGCAUCACUGGUGUUCGGGUUGUCAUGCCAAUGGCACUGCCCGGUAGCUAAAUGCGGAAGAGAUAAGUGCUGAAAGCAUCUAAGCACGAAACUUGCCCCGAGAUGAGUUCUCCCUGACUCCUUGAGAGUCCUGAAGGAACGUUGAAGACGACGACGUUGAUAGGCCGGGUGUGUAAGCGCAGCGAUGCGUUGAGCUAACCGGUACUAAUGAACCGUGAGGCUUAACCUUACAACGCCGAAG
rnacentral:rRNA from 1 species